rnacentral:rRNA from 1 species
GACGGAGGGUGCAAGCGUUAUCCGGAAUGAUUGGGCGUAAAGCGUCCGCAGGUGGCCGUUCAAGUCUGCUGUCAAAGACCGGGGCUUAACUUCGGAAAGGCAGUGGAAACUGAACAGCUAGAGUAUGGUAGGGGCAGAGGGAAUUCCUGGUGUAGCGGUGAAAUGCGUAGAGAUCAGGAAGAACAUCGGUGGCGAAGGCGCUCUGCUGGACCGUAACUGACACUGAGGGACGAAAGCUAGGGGAGCGAAUGGG